rnacentral:rRNA from 1 species
AAAUAUAAGAGGUCCAGCCUGCCCAGUGACAAAGUUCAACGGCCACGGUACCCUGACCGCGCGAAGGUAGCAUAAUCACUUGUUCUUUAAAUAAGGACUCGUAUCAACGGCAUCACGAGGGUUAUACUGUCUCCUUUUUCUAAUCAGUGAAACUAAUCUCCCCGUGAAGAAGCAGGGAUACUACUAUAAGACGAGAAGACCCCAUGGAGCUUUAAACCCAACUACACCCCUAUUCUCCAUAACUACUUAACUAAAAGGAUACUGUAUGCUUGGUUUUAGGUUGGGGCGACCACGGAGUAAAAACCAACCUCCAUGAUGAACGGACCUACUCCCUUAUCUAAGAGCCACUCCUCUAAGAAUUAGUACACUAACAUAAAAUGAUCCUUUUCUUGAUCAACGAACCAAGUUACCCUGGGGAUAACAGCGCAAUCCAUUUCAAGAGCCCAUAUCGACAAAUGGGUUUACGACCUCGAUGUUGGAUCAGGAUAUCCCAGUGGUGUAGCAGCUACUAAUGGUUCGUUUGUUCAACGAUUAAAAUCCU